UUAUUCGAAGCAACGCGAAGAACCUUACCAGGUCUUGACAUCCUCUGACAAUCCUAGAGAUAGGACGUCCCCUUCGGGGGCAGAGUGACAGGUGGUGCAUGGUUGUCGUCAGCUCGUGUCGUGAGAUGUUGGGUUAAGUCCCGCAACGAGCGCAACCCUUGAUCUUAGUUGCCAGCAUUCAGUUGGGCACUCUAAGGUGACUGCCGGUGACAAACCGGAGGAAGGUGGGGAUGACGUCAAAUCAUCAUGCCCCUUAUGACCUGGGCUACACACGUGCUACAAUGGACAGAACAAAGGGCAGCGAAACCGCGAGGUUAAGCCAAUCCCACAAAUCUGUUCUCAGUUCGGAUCGCAGUCUGCAACUCGACUGCGUGAAGCUGGAAUCGCUAGUAAUCGCGGAUCAGCAUGCCGCGGUGAAUACGUUCCCGGGCCUUGUACACACCGCCCGUCACACCACGAGAGUUUGUAACACCCGAAGUCGGUGAGGUAACCUUUAUGGAGCCAGCCGCCGAAGGUGGGACAGAUGAUUGGGGUGAAGUC
rnacentral:rRNA from 1 species